rnacentral:rRNA from 1 species
AUUGAACGCUGGCGGCAGGCUUAACACAUGCAAGUCGAGCGGGGGAAGGUAGCUUGCUACUGGACCUAGCGGCGGACGGGUGAGUAAUGCUUAGGAAUCUGCCUAUUAGUGGGGGACAACAUCUCGAAAGGGAUGCUAAUACCGCAUACGUCCUACGGGAGAAAGCAGGGGAUCUUCGGACCUUGCGCUAAUAGAUGAGCCUAAGUCGGAUUAGCUAGUUGGUGGGGUAAAGGCCUACCAAGGCGACGAUCUGUAGCGGGUCUGAGAGGAUGAUCCGCCACACUGGGACUGAGACACGGCCCAGACUCCUACGGGAGGCAGCAGUGGGGAAUAUUGGACAAUGGGGGGAACCCUGAUCCAGCCAUGCCGCGUGUGUGAAGAAGGCCUUAUGGUUGUAAAGCACUUUAAGCGAGGAGGAGGCUACUCUAGUUAAUACCUAGGGAUAGUGGACGUUACUCGCAGAAUAAGCACCGGCUAACUCUGUGCCAGCAGCCGCGGUAA